rnacentral:rRNA from 1 species
UACGUAGGUGACAAGCGUUGUCCGGAUUUACUGGGCGUAAAGAGCGCGCAGGCGGUCGAUCAAGUCGAGUGUGAAAGCCCCCGGCUCAACUGGGGAGGGUCAUUCGAUACUGAUCGACUCGAAGGCAGGAGAGGGUAGUGGAAUUCCCGGUGUAGUGGUGAAAUGCGUAGAUAUCGGGAGGAACACCGGUGGCGAAGGCGGGUCUCUGGGCCGAUACUGACGCUGAGGAGCGAAAGCGUGGGGAGCAAACAGG